rnacentral:rRNA from 1 species
UACGUAGGGUGCGAGCGUUGUCCGGAAUUAUUGGGCGUAAAGAGCUCGUAGGCGGUCUGUCGCGUCGGUCGUGAAAACUUGGGGCUUAACCCUGAGCUUGCGGUCGAUACGGGCAUGACUGGAGUUCGGUAGGGGAGACUGGAAUUCCUGGUGUAGCGGUGAAAUGCGCAGAUAUCAGGAGGAACACCGGUGGCGAAGGCGAGUCUCUGGGCCGAUACUGACGCUGAGGAGCGAAAGCGUGGGGAGCGAGCAGG